GAGUUUAUUUUGGAUAUUGCCGAUCAAUUGGUAAACUCUUUAAAAAAUGGGAGAGAUUUUCACUACCCGGCCUCUGCACCAACAAGGGAUGCAUACGGCCAUUUUAGUAUGAGUACCAAGAUAAACAUGGUCCUCGGAAUUUUUUAAAUGAGUAUCAAGAAUUUUUUUGAUGAGUGGUUUUACCACACACCAAACUUGAUCCUCAAUAAAUGGGAGAAAACUCAC
rnacentral:lncRNA from 1 species